GUAGGUGGCAAGCGUUGUCCGGAAUUAUUGGGCGUAAAGCGCGCGCAGGCGGUUCUUUAAGUCUGAUGUGAAAGCCCACGGCUCAACCGUGGAGGGUCAUUGGAAACUGGAGAACUUGAGUACAGAAGAGGAAAGCGGAAUUCCACGUGUAGCGGUGAAAUGCGUAGAGAUGUGGAGGAACACCAGUGGCGAAGGCGGCUUUCUGGUCUGUAACUGACGCUGAGGCGCGAAAGCGUGGGGAGCAAACAGGAUUAGAUACCCUGGUAGUCCACGCCGUAAACGAUGAGUGCUAAGUGUUAGGGGGGUUUCCGCCCCCCUUAGUGCUGCAGCUAACGCAUUAAGCACUCCGCCUGGGGUUACGGCCGCAAGGCUG
rnacentral:rRNA from 1 species